rnacentral:rRNA from 1 species
AUUGAACGCUGGCGGCAGGCCUAACACAUGCAAGUCGAACGGUAACAGGAAGCAGCUUGCUGCUUUGCUGACGAGUGGCGGACGGGUGAGUAAUGUCUGGGAAACUGCCUGAUGGGGGGGGAUAACUACUGGAAACGGUAGCUAAUACCGCAUAACGUCGCAAGACCAAAGAGGGGGACCUUAGGGCCUCUUGCCAUCGGAUGUGCCCAGAUGGGAUUAGCUAGUAGGUGGGGUAACGGCUCACCUAGGCGACGAUCCCUAGCUGGUCUGAGAGGAUGACCAGCCACACUGGAACUGAGACACGGUCCAGACUCCUACGGGAGGCAGCAGUGGGGAAUAUUGCACAAUGGGCGCAAGCCUGAUGCAGCCAUGCCGCGUGUAUGAAGAAGGCCUUCGGGUUGUAAAGUACUUUCAGCGGGGAGGAAGGGAGUAAAGUUAAUACCUUUGCUCAUUGACGUUACCCGCAGAAGAAGCACCGGCUAACUCCGUG